GGUGGCGUGACCGAGCGGCCGAAGGAGCGCGCCUCGAAAGCGCGUGACGGGUAACCCCCGUCCGUGGGUUCAAAUCCCACCGCCACCGCCA
rnacentral:tRNA from 14 species